CGGCUGGCGCUGAGGGGGCUGCGGACCAGCGGAGCCCCCGGCUUCCACACUGCCCCCUUUCCACAGGCCUUUCUCCCAAAGAUAUGGGAUUUUUCCUGGGCUGAACAUCCCGAUGACUAGCCUUACACCUGGUUUGAAGCUAUUUGCAGGAAAGCUUUGUUUUCUCACUGCAGGCCGCACGGAUGCCCCGUGAGCCCAUCUCUCGUCAGGUUCCUUGUACGCUCUUCUGCAGCCUCCUUCCCCAUGCCAUUGGGAGGUCCCAAAAAACUGCAGAAUCUGGGUAGGAAUGCACAAAAACACUCUAGGACAAUCCCAGACAGACAAAGGUGCAAUGCUGACCAUGAAGAAAACUAAACAUCCACUGAAAACUGUAUGCUUGGCGUCAGUAUGAAUUUACAGAAAGGAAGGCCUGAGUUCUGGGGUGACCUGAAGUCUACGUUGUAUCCUGCAGAGCUUUAAUGGAUUCAGCCCCUCACAACAUGCAGCGACCUCCAUUAAAAAUGCCUGUGAGGGUUUUAAUCACCAUUUUCUAUCACAAGAGCACAUUUCUUUAAAAGCAGAAGGAUCAGAGGAACAGGGUGUCCCCAGAGUUUCGAGACGUUUAACCCUAUGUGGUGUUUUGCUCUUACCAUGGGGUUUGCAGGUGUGCUACUGUAGCCUGAGUGAGAAUUACCUCCUGUUACUGAACUGUCCCAAUUGAUUUCAAUUCAGAUUUUCCUCUGGAAUGCAGUAAGUUAACCUUCUUCAAAUGGAACAACUUUAUUCACAGAAACAUUACCAAAACAGCAGGUAGAAAGAAUGAAACCCAAGAUUUCACAGGUGAGUUGCUAAUUCACAUGGGUUACCCCAUCUUACAGUUUAUGGAUCAUUAUAAUUAGUUUUAUGGAUCAUUAUAAUUAGUUAAGUGAUAAAAACUGUGAUAAGUAAAUGUGAGACCAAUUUACCACUGCUGACAAGUGACAAUAUAGAAUCCAUUUUAAAGAUGUAAUUGUUAAUUUUCAUAACAUUCUGUGGCCAUGAUCUGCUCAAGUAUAUAGAAAAAAAACGAUUUAUCCUCUAAAAAACCUGCAUAACUGAGAAGCCCUUAAUUAGAAUAGGCCUUUAAACUUCUGCAAUGAAUGACCAGACACCACUACAACAGGAGUUGCUUUCUACUGCAUAUCAUAAGGCCUUGCUAGAGCUACUGGAUUGCCAACAGGUUACUUCAGCUGCAAAAACUGAGACAAGUACACUAAAAUUAGUCACUAGAACCUGAUUUAGAAAGAACACCGUGAAAUGGUGACUCCUUUGAAAUCUUUGAAAUCUCAUAUACCCCAUGAGAGAAAAUAAAGAGCUGAAUUUCAUUUUAAAGAAAGUAAAUUUAAAAAAAAAUGCAAACAGUACACAAAAACUAGACCAUUCCUCUGGAGCUGCCAUCCUGGAUUAUACAUAAUGCUCACAAAAAUAGGCACAAACUGGUGGGUCCAUCCAUGUAUAAAGAGAGGGAGAAAAAGGGUGAAAAGAAGUUUAGAAAAAUCUUACAAAUACCCAAGUAUUUUUCUUUCCCUAACUCCCUGUUCCCAGAUUUUACAAAGACCUUCACAGAAAAUGACAGACAUUAAUUUCCAGGAUUAAGCUAUGGUUCUGUGAUCUGUGGUCACCUCUAAUAUAAAUUUGUGCAUACUUGCCAGUGUUUCCCAAUAAGGCAGCAGGUUCUGCAGUUAAUCUGAGAACCCCAUUAAACUGAAGUUUCUGCGAAAGUCUGUUAGAGUUGGAGAGUUCACAAGUGAUCUGUUCUUGCAGAAAACUGACUUUGGAUAUUUCCAUAUGAAGUAUCCAUUCUAAACAGAGGAUGAAGCUGAAACAGUGGAAUUGCCCAAGCAGGAAAAUCUAAACUGCUCCCCUGGCAUCCUCUGUGGUGAGAGACCCAUUAAUUUUAUCGACCUCAUAACACAUUUUACCUUUCUGCCAUCUGAUAUUCACACUCUUAAAAUAUUAAAUAGACACAAACACAUUUCUGGUACUUACACUGGGAACUUGAGAAUGAUUAAAUACUCAACACAUUAAAUAAGCUGGCAAAGACAACAAACUACUUCAGACCACAAGAUAACCAGCCUGGCCUUGAAAAGCACUAUUGAUGGGCACCACAAGAUGGCCAACACUGCAAAGCAGCAAAGCACAGCAGAAGCUUUUGACAUUAACACUGCACACAAAAACUAACUCUACAUUGAAAUAUACAGUUUAUUUUCUUGAAGUCAAGCAAUACCAUUUGUCAGUAGGGUACAUGUUAAGUGUCAGGCAGGAAAACUGUACAUUUUCACUCUGGGCUGCAGGAUCCAAACAGCUGGAGAAGCACUAUGGAAAUCUUUCACUAUACAAAGAGAUCUAGAAUUGAGAACAACAAUGGAUGAAGAAACAGCCAUCCCCAGGACGCCAAAGGCAAAACAUUAGCACCAGA